rnacentral:rRNA from 1 species
GCGGCCUAUCAGCUUGUUGGUGAGGUAAUGGCUCACCAAGGCGACGACGGGUAGCCGGCCUGAGAGGGCGACCGGCCACACUGGGACUGAGACACGGCCCAGACUCCUACGGGAGGCAGCAGUGGGGAAUAUUGGGCAAUGGAGGGAACUCUGACCCAGCGACGCCGCGUGCGGGAUGAAGGCCUUCGGGUUGUAAACCGCUUUCAGCAAGGAAGAAGCGAAAGUGACGGUACUUGCAGAAGAAGCACCGGCUAACUAUGUGCCAGCAGCCGCGGUAAUACAUAGGGUGCAAGCGUUGUCCGGAAUUAUUGGGUGUAAAGAGUUCGUAGGUGGUUCGUUACGUCGGAUGUGAAAAUCUGGGGCUCAACCCCAGACCUGCAUUCGAUACGGGCGAGCUAGAGUUUGGUAGGGGAGACUGGAAUUCCU